AGUGGGGAAUAUUGCACAAUGGGCGCAAGCCUGAUGCAGCCAUGCCGCGUGUAUGAAGAAGGCCUUCGGGUUGUAAAGUACUUUCAGCAGUGAGGAAGGUUCAUGCGUUAAUAGCGUAUGGAUUUGACGUUAGCUGCAGAAGAAGCACCGGCUAACUCCGUGCCAGCAGCCGCGGUAAUACGGAGGGUGCGAGCGUUAAUCGGAAUUACUGGGCGUAAAGCGCAUGCAGGUGGUGUGUUAAGUCAGAUGUGAAAGCCCGGGGCUCAACCUCGGAAUAGCAUUUGAAACUGGCACACUAGAGUACUGUAGAGGGGGGUAGAAUUUCAGGUGUAGCGGUGAAAUGCGUAGAGAUCUGAAGGAAUACCAGUGGCGAAGGCGGCCCCCUGGACAGAUACUGACACUCAGAUGCGAAAGCGUGGGGAGCAAA
rnacentral:rRNA from 1 species